rnacentral:rRNA from 1 species
UCUUGCGCAAUGGGCGGAAGCCUGACGCAGCGACGCCGCGUGGGGGAUGACGGCCUUCGGGUUGUAAACCUCUUUCACCAUCGGCGAAGGCUUCUUCUUCGGAGGGGGUUGACGGUAGGUGGGGAAGAAGCGCCGGCUAACUACGUGCCAGCAGCCGCGGUAAUACGUAGGGCGCGAGCGUUGUCCGGAAUUAUUGGGCGUAAAGAGCUCGUAGGCGGUUUGUCGCGUCUGUCGUGAAAGCCCGUGGCUUAACUGCGGGUCUGCGGUGGAUACGGGCAGACUUGAGGCAGGUAGGGGAGCAUGGAAUUCCCGGUGUAGCGGUGAAAUGCGCAGAUAUCGGGAGGAACACCGGUGGCGAAGGCGGUGCUCUGGGCCUGUUCUGACGCUGAGGAGCGAAAGCGUGGGGAGCGAAC